CCUUUGGAAUGACAUACUCAGCUGAACCUGGAGCCAGUGCCGCUGUCUCCAGAGGGCUACGUGGAGCAACCCGGGAAAGCUCUGCCCCUGCUGCCUGUUUGUAAGGAAGAAGGCUGGAGUCAGCAGCUCAGAAGUAGGGAUCCAAAGAUCUGCUGGUAUCUCCUAAAGUCAGAUGAGGUUUCUUCUCGAUUUUGUUCACUCUUGCUCCUGAGCCUUUUCGUUUUUUAAAUAGUUAUAACGACACUGGAUGAAUGAAUCCAGUUAGAUCUUAAGUAGGAAUUUCUACCAUGCCAGCCUUUGUUUGUUGCCGGUGGAUUCUCUGAACCAAAGUCAGCAGUGUUACACACAGCUUAUUUCUAGAGAAAAUUCAGGAGAGGCCAAGGCAGCUCUUAACCGACUUCCUUAGGUCCCGGGUACAUUGCUCAACACUCGCAACUGCCAGAUGAGACUGUGCCUCCCCCUCACCUGCAUAAAGGGAGCUUGUUAAGGACUGCAUUAGGACUGAAGGCAAGUUCCUAAGUCACUGUCACCUUUGGCUGCACAUGGUGAGUGUUCUGUUCUCUUCUGCAAAAGGCACAUAUGGACUAUAUGGACUCGUUAGCAAGGACUGAGCUGGGGAAUGACUGGGUAGGAGUGCUCCCUGACCCUGGAAUGUAAAUUACAGCUUAGAACAUUCCAAACCAUAAUUUGUCCUCCAAAAAAACAUGUCCCUGCUCUUCCCACCAGUUGGUUAAACAUCUUGUUUCCAGUAGCUUUCUGAUUGCUAUAAGAAUUCCUAAAUAAUGGUGGAUUUGUACCAUAGACUUUCUCAGUUUCUCACAAUUAGGUUUGGUUUGCUGCAUUGCAAAGACUGAGGAAUAACAGGCUGGGAAUCUGAAAUGCAUCCACUUGGAAAAAGGGCUUUAGAGAUGCAGAUGUGUGGUUGAUUAUUUAUUGUUAAUAUGAGAAGAGAGUCCACUGAGUGAUCUGGUGCACUGGACAUGGCAUUAUCUCUGGAAAAGCAUCAGAUGCUUUAGAAUUCGCAUCCUAGAAUGGCACAACAUGACCGCGUUGUGCCUGAAGCACUAAAACUGAAAGCAAUGAAUCUCAUCUCUGCAUCCAAUCUCUCUUUGUUUACAGGACUCUGCUAUCUGUCUUCGUGCAUUUCACAGAUAAGCUAGCCAGAUGGUCUGAGCAGUGAUCACCAUCAAAAGAACAGGGGAAAAAAAGAGUCUGAGAAUGGCAAAACCAGGGCAAAACCUUCUUAGCAACAGUGGUGUGAAUCUUUGAGACAAGAUACAGGAGAUUGCCAAGUUAGAAGUUGAAGAAUAAAGAAUGGGAAGGCAUCUUCAUAAAGAAAAGGAGUUCUGCCUUUUAUGACAGAUGAGUUGAGAAGUGACCAGACAGGAGCUGCAAGCAAGUCCCAGUAUGUAGUCUCCUUAUCAAGAUAUUUACUGAGUCACAACAAAAUAGUGUACACAAGCAGUGUAAAGUCUUUGGAUGGCCAUGAUAGGAUUGGCUACAGGCAGCAUAGCGUGGGGCACCUGUUAAUCGCAGCUUUAUCUUCACUGCCAACUGCCCUUAUCUGCUGGUAUGCUGUGGCUAUUCCGCUGUGAGAUCAUCCUGGAAACAAGACACUGCAGUUUCAGUGGCAACUGAGAAUGUAAGGUCAAACAUGAGCAAAGCCAUCACUGCUUUCCCCAGCUAAUACCUUGCCCUUGGCUGAGAUUCACAGAGUGUGUACUUAAGGACAGUAUUCCUUAUCUCUUUUGUUUGUUGAUUGUUCUUGAAAUGAAUAUUAGCACUUGAGAGAAGCUAAAACAAUACCUCAGAGGCUGUAGUACCUCACCAAGCUGUUCCAUCAGCCGAUAUGGUGGCCAAGUGUUGGUAGGAAGAACAUCUGGGGGAAUAUUCCCAUUGAAAGCAAGACAAGGCAGAGGUGAAGUCCAAGCUGUUUGUCUCUGUGCUGUGGUUUGAAUUAAUACUGUCAUUUUUAUACUUCAUGUACAUGCAUUUUCCUUUUUGCUUUAACAUGUUUUUAAUACCCUUGUAAAUGAAUUACAAUUGUUUCCUGCUUUUGUCA